CUUCGGUAAUGACGUUAGGAAAGCGAGCGGCGGAUGGGUGAGUAACACGUGGGGAACCUGCCCCAUAGUCUGGGAUACCACUUGGAAACAGGUGCUAAUACCGGAUAAGAAAGCAGAUCGCAUGAUCAGCUUUUAAAAGGCGGCGUAAGCUGUCGCUAUGGGAUGGCCCCGCGGUGCAUUAGCUAGUUGGUAAGGUAAAGGCUUACCAAGGCGAUGAUGCAUAGCCGAGUUGAGAGACUGAUCGGCCACAUUGGGACUGAGACACGGCCCAAACUCCUACGGGAGGCAGCAGUAGGGAAUCUUCCACAAUGGACGCAAGUCUGAUGGAGCAACGCCGCGUGAGUGAAGAAGGUUUUCGGAUCGUAAAGCUCUGUUGUUGGUGAAGAAGGAUAGAGGUAGUAACUGGCCUUUAUUUGACGGUAAUCAACCAGAAAGUCACGGCUAACUACGUGCCAGCAGCCGCGGUAAUACGUAGGUGGCAAGCGUUGUCCGGAUUUAUUGGGCGUAAAGCGAGCGCAGGCGGAAGAAUAAGUCUGAUGUGAAAGCCCUCGGCUUAACCGAGGAACUGCAUCGGAAACUGUUUUUCUUGAGUGCAGAAGAGGAGAGUGGAACUCCAUGUGUAGCGGUGGAAUGCGUAGAUAUAUGGAAGAACACCAGUGGCGAAGGCGGCUCUCUGGUCUGCAACUGACGCUGAGGCUCGAAAGCAUGGGUAGCGAACAGG
rnacentral:rRNA from 1 species